CGUUGCAAUAACUUGUUACAAAGAGCAUGUUUGAUGUAUAAAAAGAGUACUAUUUUGGAAAACUGUAAUCAUUUUACAAUGUUGCUAAACCAUGACUUCAUUUGGGUGACCAAAUCCUUGAUAAAAAGUAUUGUAAUUGUGGUUGCCGUUUAUGGUGCCCACACUGACCGCAGGUUAUUCGCCGUAGAUGGAUGAUAUUGGCAUAGCUCCAAUCGCUUCCCAAUUUGAAGAACACACAUAGAUUUAUGGGGAUGAAGACAAUAUUUUGACCUUUCAAAUCGAUUUUUAUUUUUCCAAAUAUGUAAUAAAUUCAUAAUUAAAAAAAAAAGUCCUCUGGAUUCAAAUUUA
rnacentral:sRNA from 1 species